rnacentral:tRNA from 1 species
GUCCCAAUAGCAUAAUUGGUUAAUGCACUCGCCUCAUAAGCGAUAGAAGGAGCGGUUCGAAACCGCCUUGGGACA